rnacentral:rRNA from 1 species
GUUAUAUGGUCAAGCGAAUAAGCGCACACGGUGGAUGCCUAGGCGGUCAGAGGCGAUGAAGGACGUGGUAGCCUGCGAAAAGUGUCGGGGAGCUGGCAACAAGCUUUGAUCCGGCAAUAUCCGAAUGGGGAAACCCACUGCUUCGGCAGUAUCCUGCAGUGAAUUCAUAGCUGCUGGAAGCGAACCCGGUGAACUGAAAUAUCUAAGUAACCGGAGGAAAAGAAAUCAACCGAGAUUCCCUAAGUAGUGACGAGCGAACGGGGAGCAGCCCUUAAGCUGGAAUGGCUUUAGAAAAACAAUCUGGAAAGAUUGGCCAUAGAAGGUGAUAGCCCUGUAUUUAAAAGGGCCACUCCAGUGAAGACGAGUAGGGCGGGGCACGUGAAACCCUGUCUGAAUAUGGGGGGACCAUCCUCCAAGGCUAAAUACUCCUGACCGACCGAUAGUGAACCAGUACCGUGAGGGAAAGGCGAAAAGAACCCCGGAGAGGGGAGUGAAAUAGAUCCUGAAACCGUGUGCGUACAAGCAGUAGGAGCUCGCAAGAGUGACUGCGUACCUUUUGUAUAAUGGGUCAGCGACUUACUGUUCGUGGCAAGCUUAACCGUAUAGGGGAGGCGAAGGGAAACCGAGUCUGAUAAGGGCGCAUAGUCGCGGGCAGUAGACCCGAAACCGGGUGAUCUAGUCAUGGCCAGGGUGAAGGUGCCGUAACAGGUACUGGAGGCCCGAACCCACGUCUGUUGCAAAAGACGGGGAUGAGCUGUGAUUAGGAGUGAAAAGCUAAUCGAACCCGGAGAUAGCUGGUUCUCCUCGAAAGCUAUUUAGGUAGCGCCUCGGACGAAUACUACUGGGGGUAGAGCACUGUUAUGGCUAGGGGGUCAUCGCGACUUACCAAACCAUUGCAAACUCCGAAUACCAGUACGUACUAUCCGGGAGACACACGGCGGGUGCUAACGUCCGUCGUGAAAAGGGAAACAACCCAGACCCACAGCUAAGGUCCCAAAUUCACUGCUAAGUGGAAAACGAUGUGGAAAGGCAUAGACAGCCAGGAGGUUGGCUUAGAAGCAGCCACCCUUUAAAGAAAGCGUAAUAGCUCACUGGUCGAGUCGGUCUGCGCGGAAGAUUUAACGGGGCUAAGCAGUGAACCGAAGCUUGGGGUGCAUAAAACUUGUUUUAUGCGCGGUAGAGGAGCGUUCCGUAAGCCUGCGAAGGUGGAUUGAGAAGUCUGCUGGAGGUAUCGGAAGUGCGAAUGCUGACAUGAGUAACGAUAAUGCGGGU